rnacentral:lncRNA from 1 species
UAGUCCAGCAGAACCGCUGUCCUCCGGUCUGUCCACAUACACACACACACACACACAAAGAGAGAGAGAGAGAGAGAGAGAGAGAGAGAGCUCGGGCUGAGGAGCACUUUCUCCACUGUGCAUUUAUUUCUAUGUACGCAGGACACGAUGGGAUGUACAGCCAGCACUCACACCACAGCUCAGGACACAACUCGACCCAACUCAAAAACAGAGGAAUGUAACGGGGCGAGCACCACAGGAACAGCUGCUGAAAAGGCAGUACAUGAGAAAGAGACUACGCCUGCUCCGGAGGUGGCCAGUGCAAGUUCACAGCCCCAAGUAAGCUCUGAAAUUUCGGCAGCAACUGCAAGUCAGGCUGCAGCUGAGGCUCCUGCAGCUGAAGCACCUGCAGCUGAAGCACCUACAGCUGAAGCGUCUGCAGCUGAGGCUCCUGCAGCCGAGGCUCCUGCAGCCGAUGCUCCUGCAGCCGAUGCUCCUUCGGCUGAGGCUCCUGCAGCUGAAUCCGCAGCACCUGCAACUCAAGAUGAAGCUUCAGCAGAAAGCCCAGCAGAACCAGCCCCAACAGAGGAGACACCAGGUGAGUACACGUUCUGAAGAACUAACUAGAGGCAUCAUCUCUGAUCUUCUCCUAUGCUAACACAUUUCUUUCUCUCUCUAUCUGUCCUUCAGCACCCAGUGAGGGAAGCUAAGGCAGAAUUCUGCAGACAUCGCUGGGUUAUGAUGAUGGUAGAACUGAAAAACUGCUCAAACAUUUCACGACAAACGAGGAACCUUUCAGCAGAGAUGCUUAAAACCUGAGAUGACUUAGGAUUGCUAGCCUGUUGCCAAGAUGCAGACUGCAGAUCUUUCAGACUGGGGUCUUGCAGACAUCACAGUGCCUUUAUUUAUCUUUGUCAGCGGUGAUGGGAACUACUUUUGUAUAUACUUAAUAUUUUAAUGAAUGUAUUUAAAUGAAAUACCUUAGAUAGAUUAAUUUAGAGAAUUUAAAAUGUACAAUAUAAAUACAAGACUUUGGGUACAGAAACUUUACAGAGAUUUAAAUUAUGUAAUGUUCAUAUCCUUCAUAUUGCUUCUUUGUGUUUGUACAGGACAGUGUACAGAGCCAAAGACUAUGGGACAUCACUGCAAAUGUACCUAGGCUAUUAUGCUAUACUAUAAAACUAUUUAGACUAAUAAAUCUGUUACUGUGUUCA